ensembl:snoRNA LOC120095763 small nucleolar RNA SNORA17
ACUACCCCUAGAAGCAUUGUGGGUAUGGCUGCUGUGUCACGUGUACAUCAGUAGAUGGCAGAGAGGGAGUAAGGCCCUCUCUGUGCUCAGGACUCUGACCUAUAAACAACUGAAUGAUGUUCCCUGAAACA